ACUUGCAUAGCUAGCUGGGCAGCUCUUCACUAGUCUCAUGCCUUCACUGAUCUUCAAUGAGAGAGGGGCAUGGCAUUCUGACUCCUAGCAUUCCGACUGGUCCUGGUCUCUCCCACUGACUUGUGCUGAUUUGGCAGAGGUCUGUUUCUGCUGGAUUGUGUCGAGUUGCUGAUUCAUGUUUAGUGACACUUUUGAACUAGACUGUUGCACCCACCUCGGCCGGCAAGGAAGACACAACACGGUCAGAUUCUUCUCAACAGCCUUUAUUGCAGAAACGCCUCGAUACUGCUACAGGGACCCCAGGAACCCAGGGAGGGGACUCCUUCAGCUCACUACUGUGCUGGUUCCUCUUCCCUACUGGUGAUGCAUCGCGUGUGGAGUCCGAGAAGCUUUGAUAGACACUCAGGCAUGCUAGAUUCCAGAGACCAUUUCUCUCGAGCAGCCAAAGAACCGGCUUGAAAGGAGGAAGCAGGAUCGUGGGCUACAGUGGAAAAGCCUCCUGUCACUCCAGUCAAGUUCUGACUCCACUUUCCUCCCAGUUUUCCUUCCUGGGUAUCAACAAUAUCACUGCUAGUAUCACCAAUGGCAACAGGUAUUCUCUUGCUGCUGUGUUAGGGGAAUGGGAUAUUACCUGCACCUUUCGUCAAAGGUGAUUGGAUAUUUUGUUAUUAUUGUUUUGUUUUCCACCUAGUGAAAGUAAAACAUUUAGUUAGAAUAUAUUGUUGUUGGUGUUGCUGCUGCCGCUGCUGCUGCUGCUGCUGGGAUUUGGAAUUUGGGAUUCGGAAUAGCUAGGGAAGAUUCAUACUUUUAAGAAAGUCACAAUAACCUCACUACUCUCUUUAGACUCAGGUACCAGGCUAACACAUGACUAUGUCACAACAGCUGGACCCGCUCUCUAAACAUUUGUUCAUGAUUUGAACAGGCUAAUGAGUCACCUAACUACUGUAAGAGGAACACCAAUGGCCAAAGCUUGUCUUUGACAGGGAAAUUUCAAAGAAUGUUUUGAAUUAAUGAUUGUGUGCUUAAAAAAUAUGAUUUUUUUCUGAAUUGUCUUAACUUCUUGAAGGUAUCAUUUUCCUGUUCUCUGAUAGCUUUUCUCUGGUUGGUUGAACUUUAUUAAAUACAUAUAAUAGGAAUAUGAUAUGAUACGAUAUGAUGAUAUAAUAUUUUUAGAUACACCCAUAAUCUAGUCUUUCCCAUUUAAAAACAUUUGGGGGUUUAUUUAAGAAAAGCAAGCCUGCCUAUCCUCACUAUUAACGAGGUUACCUCACUCAGCUUAUUCUGAGAGAUUCUCAAACCAUCGCCAGGGUAAAGCAGCUCUAGGACAUGAUCUCUGGUACCCAAAAGUUUACAACGGUUAUGAAAGACAACAGGGAGCAAAUCUACCCACAGCUGUCACAGGAGAGAGGACAGAGGAAACAGAGGAAGUUGUUCAUGUUAAACACAAUCAAUGGCCAGAAUAGCCAGAUUCCUGGCACUGGCAGGAUGUGAGACUGCAAGAUAGAGACAGAAGUUCAGAAGAGAAGAUGGAGUUCCAUAAUCUUUAAUCAAGUCUCUUUCACACAAACUAAAUGACAGAACAGAUCUCUUCUUACUGCUCUGGAGCCCCCGUUGAAUUUGAAAAUUUCCAAAGUUAUUUUUUUGUGUUUUGUUUUAAUUUUGCAGUGCUGGAGUUGGAGCCCAAAGCUUUGCAUCGAUUUGAAAGAAGUGACUUUAGAACCUACAUGCACCACACUAUGUCUAGAAGGGUGAUUGAAGCUUUCUAGAGAUGAAGCCUGAUAAACCCAAACACAGAAGUCUCACAGAACACACAGUAUACCCAUCAUCUCUGUGAGACACACCCGCAGAUCCUGCCCCAUGUUGGAGUCAAGGGAACUGCUGGAAGCCCUCUCAGCUCCACCUUAGCUCCAUCUCCAUCCUAACUGGGUUCUUCUAUAUUCAGGACCUGUUUUUCUUAAAAAUUACAAGAGAUAUAUGUCUCUCAGCUGC
ensembl:lincRNA